UCAAAGACAUAAGUAACUGAUGAUUCCUAUUUGUAUUCAUAGGACUAAGCAUAAUGCCUGAUAAAGAUUAGGAAAGGGAUGAAGAGAGGAAGAGAGGGAGAAAGGAAGAAAGGAAGGACUUUGGUGAAGUCUUCAUAAAAGAGGGUCAGCAGAAGAGAACCUAGAAAGUUGCCACUUUCAAAUGAAGCCACAUGAGAAACACUAGCGAUCGCUCCAGAAAUACUUCGCCACCCCACUGCCAAGUGAGUGCUGGCACACCCAGAAUUUUCUGAAGCAAUGGGAGCAAAGAUCUGGGAGAUGGAGCCAUCCUUUCAACAGAAAGGGAAGCUGGCCAAGGAAUCCUUUCAUUCUGGUUUCUGCAAGACCCUGCCUUUCAUCGAGGCAGAUUCUUUACCAUCUGAGCCCCCAGGAAAGCCCUUGUCAGGCACUGACUCUCCACAAACAUUUAAUGAUCAUUAAUGAGCUAAUGCUGCAAGUCAAUCUGAAGCUCUCAUGACAAGGAGCAUGAAAGGAUCAGCCAUCAAGUUCUGCAACACUGUUUCCAGGGGAACUAAGAUGGUGUCGCCCAGUAGGUGUCAAGGCGUCCAUGUUCCUGCUCAAAGGAGAAUCCGCUUCAGCCCAGACUGACAUGGCCACUGCCUCAAGCAGACUGAGAACAUCUGUCUCUUAGGCGGACCACAGUCCUCAAAGAAACAGAAGCUGAGGGAUCAGACUGGAGAGAGAGAUACAAGACAGCCUCACUCCCUCACUUCACUCCCCUCACCUCACUCGCCCCACCAUGUUGCAUUUAGCUACUAGAGAGAAUAUUGGAGUGACAGAAGACACAGCCUCCAAACCUAAAAUCUUCUUGAACAUGUGGGACAAGAUACCUGCCGCUCAGAAGCAGAGAAAGAUAGACUUUCCUCCCAGAUACCUGCCAGCUCGCUUCCUCACUUCACUCUCCUCACCCUACCUGCCCAGCCACCUCUCAGAAGAGCAUCCAUGGUUACCUCUGCUGCCCUCUCCUGAUAAGGCUGUUCUCCACAGUGCUUCUCACCACCCACAGCCUUCUAGAUCCAUCUGCUGGCUUCUCUUCUGUCUCCCCCACCAGCAACUAAGCUCCACACGGCAGGGAUCUCCGUCUGUUCUGUUCUCUGCUGCAGUUCCUCAACCUAAAACAGAGCUCAGGAGACAUAAUAUGAGCUGAAUAAAUAUUUGCAGGAUGAGUAGCAAGAACUGUGUUGAGCAUAAAGAAUACAACCUGUAGAACUUGAAAGAAGAGGAAUGGGGACUUCCCUGGCAGUCCGGUGGUUAAGACUCUAUGCUUCCACUGCAGGGGCCAUGGGUUCAAUUCCUGAAUGAGGAACUAAGAGUCCACAGGCUGCACAGUGCAGUCAAAAUAAAAAAAGAAAGAAGA